GGGGAAUAUUGGACAAUGGGCGCAAGCCUGAUCCAGCCAUGCCGCGUGAGUGAUGAAGGCCCUAGGGUUGUAAAGCUCUUUUAGCGGGGAAGAUAAUGACGGUACCCGCAGAAGAAGCCCCGGCUAACUUCGUGCCAGCAGCCGCGGUAAUACGAAGGGGGCUAGCGUUGCUCGGAAUCACUGGGCGUAAAGCGCACGUAGGCGGAUCUUUAAGUCAGGGGUGAAAUCCCGGAGCUCAACUCCGGAACUGCCUUUGAUACUGGGGAUCUUGAGUCCGGGAGAGGUGAGUGGAACUGCGAGUGUAGAGGUGAAAUUCGUAGAUAUUCGCAAGAACACCAGUGGCGAAGGCGGCUCACUGGCCCGGUACUGACGCUGAGGCACGAAAGCGUGAGUAGCGAA
rnacentral:rRNA from 1 species